rnacentral:rRNA from 1 species
CCUACGGGGUGCAGCAGUGGGGAAUUUUGCGCAAUGCUCGUAAGAGUGACGCAGCGACGCCGCGUGAAUGACGAAGGCCUUCGGGUCGUAAAGUUCUUUCGACAGGGAAGAAAAUGCCUAUAAGUAACUGUGUAUGUAAUGACGGUACCUGUAUAAGCAGCCCCGGCUAACUACGUGCCAGCAGCCGCGGUAAUACGGAGGUGGCGAGCGUUGUUCGGAGUGACUGGGAGUAAAGAGCACGUAGGCGGUGUGUUAAGUCAUUAGUAAAAGAUUGGAGAUCAACUUUAGUAAGGCUAGUGAUACUAUAAUACUAGUGUAUCAGAGAGGAUUGCAGAAUUCCUGGUGU